rnacentral:rRNA from 1 species
UACGUAGGGGGCAAGCGUUGUCCGGAAUCAUUGGGCGUAAAGAGCGUGUAGGCGGCUCGAUAAGUCUGCUGUGAAAGUCCAGGGCUCAACCCUGGAAGGCCGGUGGAAACUGUCGGGCUAGAGUCCGGAAGAGGCGAGUGGAAUUCCCGGUGUAGCGGUGAAAUGCGCAGAUAUCGGGAGGAACACCAAUGGCGAAGGCAGCUCGCUGGGACGGUACUGACGCUGAGGAGCGAAAGUGUGGGGAGCGAACAGG